rnacentral:rRNA from 1 species
UGGGGAAUCUUGGACAAUGGGCGCAAGCCUGAUCCAGCCAUGCCGCGUGGAUGAUGAAGGCCCUAGGGUUGUAAAAUCCUUUCGUUGGGGACGAUAAUGACGGUACCCAAAGAAGAAGCUCCGACUAACUUCGUGCCAGCAGCCGCGGUAAUACGAAGGGGGCUAGCGUUGUUCGGAUUUACUGGGCGUAAAGCGCGUGUAGGCGGGUCGUUAAGUUGGGGGUGAAAUCCCGAGGCUCAACCUCGGAACUGCCUUCAAAACUGGCGACCUGGACUCAAGUAGAGGCAAGUGGAAUUGCGAGUGUAGAGGUGAAAUUCGUAGAUAUUCGCAGGAACACCAGUGGCGAAGGCGACUUGCUGGACUUGUAGUGACGCUGAGACGCGAAAGCGUGGGGAGCAAACAGGAUUAGAUACCCACGUAGUCCCUGAGCGGGCUGGCAAGGCGCAU